CCUACGGGAGGCAGCAGUGAGGAAUAUUGGUCAAUGGGCGCGAGCCUGAACCAGCCAAGCAGCGUGAAGGUUGAUUGCCCUACGGGUUGUAAACUUCUUUUAUAAAGGAAUAAAGUGAGCCACGUGUGCCCUUUUGUAUGUCCUUUCUGAUUAAGCUCCGGCUAACUACGUCCCAGCAGCCGGGGUAAUCCGGAGGGAGCGAGCUUUAUCCGGUGUUAUUGGGGGUAAAGGGUGCGUAGAUGGGAUAGUAAGUCCCUUGUAAAAAUGCCGGGCUAAACCCAGUAGGGCAAAUGAUACUGCAAAGCUAGAGUAUGACAGAGGUAAGUGGAAUGAGAGGUGUAGCGGUGAAAUGCGUAGAUAUAUGAAAGAACACCGGUGGCGAAGGCAGCUUGCGGGUUCGCUACUGACGUUGAGGCACGAAAGCGUGGGGAGCAAACAGGAUUAGAUACCCGGGUAGUC
rnacentral:rRNA from 1 species